AACAGGUGGGGAUAGUGUGGAACAGGUGGGGACAGUGGGGAACAGGUGGGGAUAGUGUGGAAGAGGUGGAGCCAGCGGGGAACAGGAGGGGAAGAGGUGGAGCCAGUGGGGAACAGGUGGGGACAGUGGGGAACAGGUGGGGACAGUGGGGAACAGGUGGGGACAGUGGGGAACAGGUGGAGACAGUGGGGAACAGGUGGGGCCAGCGGGGAACAGGUGGGGACAGUGGAGAACAGGUGGGGGCAGAAAAUAACAGGUGGGGACAGUGGAGAACAGGUGGGGGCAGAAAAGAACAGAUGGGGAACAGGUGGGGGCAGUGGAGAACAGGUGGGCAGAAAAUAACAGGUGGGGAACAGGUGGGGAUAGUGGAGUACAGGUGGGGACAGUGGAGAACAGGUGGGGACAGUGGAGAACAGGUGGGGACAGUGAAGAACAGGUGGGGGCUAGUGGUUAGGAAGCAUGGGGGGACACGGAAACAGAGACAGAGUGUGUAGUGAGAGACAUAAAUAGAGACAGACAGACAAUGCUCUCUAA
ensembl:lncRNA